ensembl:snRNA U6 U6 spliceosomal RNA
GUGCUCGCUUCAGCAGCACAUAUACUAAAAUUGGAACGAUACAGAGAAGAUUAGCGUGGCCCCUGCGCAAGGAUGACAUGCAAAUUUGUGAAGCGUUCCAUGUUUUU